rnacentral:rRNA from 1 species
GGGGUGUGUUUAUAGCUGUUAGUCAUAUACAGNAGUUGGGACUGAGGAAAGCAGCGUGCCAUUUAGGCAGGGUUUCGACCACAUUCGCGCUUAGGAUGUUGGCAUAAAUGGCUUUAAGCGACCCGUCUUGAAACACGGACCAAGGAGUCUAACAUGCCUGCGAGUGUUUGGGUGGCAAAACCCAUGCGCGCAAUGAAAGUGAAAGUUGAGAACCUCUUCAAUGAAGGAGCAUCGACGCCCGGACCAGAACUUUUGGGACGGAUCCGCGGUAGAGCAAGCAUGUUGGGACCCGAAAGAUGGUGAACUAUGCCUGAAUAGGGCGAAGCCAGAGGAAACUCUGGUGGAGGCUCGUAGCGAUUCUGACGUGCAAAUCGAUCGUCGAAUUUGGGUAUAGGGGCG